UAACAGGGUUCGUACGGGUCCUUAAAGUUCAUAAAAAUCCAUAAAAAUGAUAAGUUGUAAAAUUAUGUUCUUAAUUGUCCAUUAUUUUCAGGGAAAUCUUCUAAAAUCCAUAAAAAUUAACCUGCGGUGUUCAUUUCAUUUGUGUAUAUCAUUUUCUCCACCCUUCCAAUUAAUAGUUUUGUCAGAACAUGCAGGACCUGGUACGCGCUCUGCUUUUUCCGCCGUCUCCGAUUAGUUCCGACGAUGAUCACAUGAUCACUUGGGUCAUUCCGGGAAACAACAAUACAGUAGAUUGACACCAUCCUGGAGCAGUGAAUGGAUGGUUUGGUUGCCGGCUCGGUAAACAAUUGCCGUAUUUUCUGGAAAAAUCUGUUCAUUGAAUUUAUCGAUCUCAACAAGUGACAGACAAAUAUUGUGAGUCGCUACAAAUAUUCCGGGACAAUGCUAUUUUCAAGUGGCGUGGCUGGAGAAGCCGGAGUUCCGUGUUUGGGUCAGAAAAAUUGCUGGUGAUUACACGUCGGCCUACUGCCGAGUGUGGAAGGGCAUCUGCGUGAGAGGUAAAACUUGUCAUAGCCUCCUGCUCAAGUCAAAUGCAUUGAGGCACACAGCAAAACAGAAGAAAAUUGAUCGCCAAGAACUUGCAAAAGAGUGAGGAGAAAACUAAGUCACUGUCUGCUAUUCUCUAAUUGACAUAUCAGUUUCAUAUUU